ACUGACGAAAACGACUAUCAGGUAAAACUACGCAACCUGAUACGUUUUCUGGAAGACGGGGACAAAGCGAAGAUUACGCUACGUUUCCGAGGUCGCGAAAUGGCACACCAAAACCUGGGUAUGGAUCUAUUGAACCGUAUCAAGGCUGAUUUGGACGAGUAUGCGGUUGUUGAGUCUUUCCCGAAAAUGGAAGGCCGACAAGCAAUUAUGGUGCUAGCACCUAAAAAGAAAUAAGUAGGGCAAAACUUAAAGUAGCAAAGGCUUAUGGCCUUUGCUCGCCUUGCUUUUUAUUAAACAUCCCAAUGCGGAGUUUUAGAAAUGCCUA
rnacentral:misc_RNA from 1 species